CUCCGCGCCUGGCCACCCGCGGGCACCGUCGCCAGGCCGCCCAGGCCGCCAGCCCCCCCCGCGCCGACCACCGAUGGAGCGGGAUCCCGGGCAGCUGACCCGGAGCUCACCUCACAGCUAGGAGGAGCCAUACGCCGUCUCUGUGUCUUACUGCUCACCUGCACCUGCACUAGGGAGCAAGCCGCUACCGCGCAGCCUGCCUCCCGGGCCCCAGGGAGCCGCGCGGCGUCGGAGCCCUCACCCGAGGCUGCUUCCUCGGAGCUCCGUAUUUCCUGCGUCAAAAACGCUGAUGAUCCCAGCCUUACAGGGUCGUGCUGCCAACGUCUAAACCCUUCUCUGUACACUUCCCGGCAGCUCUAUGAACAAAAGGAAAAGUGAAACAGGUAAAAAUCAUUCUCUCAAUAUAUCCUAUGUGUGGUAAUAGAGCCAACGUGUAACCGAUAUAAAACUUUACCAGUGAGGCAUCUUACCUACCUGUGAGUGUGUGUGUGUGUGUACGCACGCGCACGUGCUAAUUCUUCAAAAUCUGGUGUCUGUUUUACCGGAUCUCGAUUCCCACGAUGUAUUUUCAACAGUUUCUAAGGGAAAUCUGGUCCUUCCAGGACAAGACUGUGUUCCACAGGGAGAGAAUAUUUGACGCUGCCUCGGCUUAUCAAUUUCAAUUUUGAUUAUUUAAAAAUGAACCCACUUUAAAAUUCGGUUUCUCCUUAGUACCAGUGGCUCCAUUUUUAAGGCUCAGUAGCCACACGUCGCUGCCUUAAAAUACAGACGGGGCGGCCUGCACACCAGGGGCGUGUGGUCUCACGACUCAGGAGGCCGGCGGUCUGAGAUCAAGCUGGGGGCAGGUUUGGUUCCUUCCGAGGUGUCUCUCCUGGGCGUGCUGACCCGGUCCCCCCCCCCCCGCCCCCGUGUCCUCACGGGUCAUGACUCAGUGCGCGUCUGUGUCCUCCCCUCCACUUCUUGCAAGGACACUAGUCAUACUGAAUUAGGACCCACCCUAAUGAAGUCAUUUUAACUUCAGCACCCCUGUAAAACUCUAUUCCCAAAUGCAGUUACAUUCUGAGGUCCCGGGGCUUAGGGCUCCAGCCCGUGAAUUCUUCAUGGAGACCCAGUUCAGCCAGGA
rnacentral:lncRNA from 1 species